CAGCAGCCACGGGAAUACAGAGGGUGCGAGCGUUAAUCGGAUUUACUGGGCGUAAAGCGUGCGUAGGCGGCUUCUUAAGUCGGAUGUGAAAUCCCUGAGCUUAACUUAGGAAUUGCAUUCGAUACUGGGAAGCUAGAGUAUGGGAGAGGAUGGUAGAAUUCCAGGUGUAGCGGUGAAAUGCGUAGAGAUCUGGAGGAAUACCGAUGGCGAAGGCAGCCAUCUGGCCUAAUACUGACGCUGAGGUACGAAAGCAUGGGGAGCAAACAGGAUUAGAUACCCCAGUAGUCCCUGUCUCUUAUAU
rnacentral:rRNA from 1 species